AUACUCUGUGUGUGGCAGGGGUACUGGUAGGAAGGGUGUGGGAGUAAUGGUACUAGUACUGCUAGUAUGGGAGGUUGGGAGUAUUAAGUGUGUGGUUAGGGGCACUGGUAAUGUGCCGGGAGUAUUGGUACUAGCAUUAAGGGUGGUGGGGGUAGAGUUACCGGUAGUGUAAGGGUGCUGGGAGUAUUGGUAUUGGCAGUAAGGGUGCUGGGAGUAUUGGUAUUGGCAGUAAGGGUGCUGGGAGUAUUGGUACUGGUAGUAAGGGUGGUGGG